rnacentral:rRNA from 1 species
AGUGAACGCUGGCGGUAGGCCUAACACAUGCAAGUCGAACGGCAGCACAGUAAGAGCUUGCUCUUACGGGUGGCGAGUGGCGGACGGGUGAGGAAUACAUCGGAAUCUACUUUUUCGUGGGGGAUAACGUAGGGAAGCUUACGCUAAUACCGCAUACGACCUACGGGUGAAAGCAGGGGAUCUUCGUACCUUGCGCGAUUGAAUGAGCCGAUGUCGGAUUAGCUAGUUGGCGGGGUAAAGGCCCACCAAGGCGACGAUCCGUAGCUGGUCUGAGAGGAUGAUCAGCCACACUGGAACUGAGACACGGUCCAGACUCCUACGGGAGGCAGCAGUGGGGAAUAUUGGACAAUGGGCGCAAGCCUGAUCCAGCCAUACCGCGUGGGUGAAGAAGGCCUUCGGGUUGUAAAGCCCUUUUGUUGGGAAAGAAAAGCAGCAGGUUAAUACCCCGCUGUUCUGACGGUACCCAAAGAAUAAGCACCGGCUAACUUCGUG